AAAAACAAAGAGAAUUUGAAGAAUAUAUCAGAGACAAAUAUAUCACAGCCAAAGCUGACUUCAGGACGCUUUUGAAAGAGACCAAAUUUAUAACAUAUAGAUCCAAAAAAUUAAUCCAAGAAUCAGAUCAGCACCUGAAAGAUGUAGAAAAAAUUUUACAGAAUGACAAACGGUAUCUAGUACUGGACUGUGUGCCAGAGGAGAGGCGUAAACUGAUUGUGGCAUAUGUUGAUGACCUGGAUCGCCGGGGUCCACCCCCACCUCCCACAGCAUCGGAGCCCACGAGACGAUCAACAAAAUAAUUCUAAAUACUCUUCCAUAGGGGCAUCUAUUCAAAAUGCUUGCAUGAGCCAAUUUUCAGGUUUUUACAUAUAUGUGCAUUAGUCAACCUAUUGCGAAACCAUCUGACAAACAGAAGGAGAAGCAUUUGUGAACAGUUUCUGAACAGAACACUUUGGAAAUAUUUAUGCUUUUCUUUGUGUGGCAUGACUGACAUACAUACUCAAAUAUAGGCUGUCUCUAGUAAAUCUUAAAAUCUUGAAGCUAAAAUUCAUCCUUUUAUGAGGUGUGGAAGUCAGUGACUUGGUGACGUUCUUCCUAGCAGUGUUAAUACAUGCAAGAAGUAAGAGCAUUUGUGGCUUGAACUUGCCAGAUGCAAAUACCACAGACUCCAAGAAAACCCGAGUUGGGGUUUGUUUUGUUUUGAUUUUUUUUUUUUAAAGCGGGUAAAAGAGAAAACACUGAAAAUUGAAUUCUUAUCUUCCAGAGGCUACAAUUAUUAUAAUGGACAAUACUUUUACCUUUGUCUCUAAAGAUCAGAUUAGUUUUAUUUGUUCACUUACGUGCUUUGAUUAUCCCCUCUGAAUUAUAGACCGAGUCUUGUUGUUUAGCCUAAGAGAAGAUUUAUGUAGUAAUUUCUUCUCAGGUAUGGAACCACGGUCAUAACUAACAUGUUGGCCAGAAUAGAACCACUGGUUAAACAUAUUUUAUUCACCAUUAAGUGAUCUUUAUCAAUAUUCUGGAUUAGACAACAAAUUACCUUUCUGGGUGUUUCUUGUAAACUAUACUCCUGUUUGAAUGUUAAACUUUGUUGCUAAAGUUUAAUUUUAAGAUGUUUGAAUGUUCAGUUUAUGUAUUUGAACUACAAUAAACCAACCCUUUUU
rnacentral:lncRNA from 1 species